GUUGAUGCAUGUGGCACACUUAGAGGAUAGGCUGGUGCCCUACAGUUCCUCCUUAGGAAUUCAUACCCAUAAUUAAUGACAAGCUUCUUCACCAUGCUAGAUCCUUGCUUGGCUCUCAUAUACGAGUGCCCUAGUAUGUAAGCAAUCCCAGCUUCCCUAGCUUCCAUUAGUUCUUGCAAUUCUUCUCUUGCGCCUCGAUCAAUCUUUGGGCUUUCUGGUACGAUAAAUCGCACUCUUUUCCUAGGGUGGAUCACAGGUGGUGAUCUUUUUUCUCUCAUCUCUGAUGUGCUGGCUGACUCUAUGAUAUCACCAUCAUCCUCACUCAGUUGGAUUCCAUCUGUAUGGGUAGAACAUGUCCCAACUACUGUCAUUUUAUUGUCUUCCUUCCCCACAUCAUCAUUUGCACCAUUGGUUUCCUUGAUCCCUGACCGUAUGUACUCUGCUAUGCUACAUACAAGAUCCUUCUCAAAUUCCAUAUCGUCCUUGUGGACAUCUCGGUAUCCAUACCGUACAAUGCACCUAUAGAGCCUGUAUUCUCUUGGUCCAAUAUGGCCGACAAGAAACCGCUCCUCUGGUUUAACACGUGGAACUGGGACAGAUUUAAUGCAGAGA
rnacentral:misc_RNA from 1 species